UUGGGGUAAGGCAGGCAGAGCUAUGGUCGUUCGUUUAUUUUGAUGUUGUGUUUGUCGUUAAACAAAAGGGCGCUGAUGUUCGAAUGAUGAGACGAUCGAUACGAAAGAUACGGUAGUAUUGCUUGAGUUAAUUCGUAAUUUUUAAAUAUCUCUGUCAUUUCGAAAUAAUUUUGCUGUGAUUGAUAGAUGUAUUUUUUCUAGCCUGGAGCAAAUUUUGUCAAAUGUACCGCUCUGGAAUUUUUCCGGAGAAGGAUUUUCUACAUGUUCUCAAUGAAUAAGAAACAAUUUGGAAGACCGUAAGAUAAUAUGAUUGCUAGAACUGAAUCAGACACUGGAAGUUUUGGUUAUGGAAUCCUCAACUUUUAUCUGCAAUGAAAUAACUUUUAAAUUGAAUUGAUCUAAAAAUUUAACAUCUUCAGAUCAAUCCAAAUGAAAGAAAAAUAACUUGAAAAUGAACAUUGUAAUACAAUUCUUAACAAAUAAUGAAAAAGUGGAUUGCAACAGCAUACAAAGUUUACCUCAAAUGAUUUGUUUCAAAGAGAUACUCUCUCUGAUUUUGUUUUGAACGUUGUCAUCAAUAACAUGUGUAGUUUUUACUCAAAAAUUAUGUUGCAUUUGAAGUCUGAUGAAGUUUUGGGUAUUUUCAAAGUUGAGGUUAUGAACUUUCUAAAUUAAAAGAAGAAAUAAACACUAAGGGAUAUCUAUGCAAUACUUUUUCCGUGAUUUCGGCACCUCGUGCAUUUCAAAAAGAAAUUCUGUGUAUUCCAGUGGUAUUACAUAUGCCACUGCUUGUCUUAGUUUCAAAAUGGUUGCAUAUCUGUACCAUUACCGUGAUUCUUACAUUUGACACUACUUAGGUUGCUGUUACAAUUCUUGAUUCGGUAUCACCAUAAUAUUAAUAUCCCCCCUCCUUUUAUAUAAGGAGAUGCAUUGUUACACCAUUAUGAUUGUAACAUCCUGAAUGCUCCGUACCUGUACCAUUACCGUGAUUCUUACAUUUGACACUACUUAGGUUGCUGUUAUAAUUCUUGAUACAGUAUCACCAUAAUAUUAAUAUCCCCCCUCGUUUCAUAUAAGGAAAUGCAUUGUUACACCAUUAUGGUUGUAACGUCCUGAACGCUGCGUACCUGUACCAUUACCGUUAUUCUUACAUUUGACACUACUUAGGUUGCUGUUACAAUUCUUGAUUCGGUAUCACUGUGAUUCUUAAAUUUGACACUACUUAGGUUGCUGUUACAAUUCUUGAUUCGUUAUCACCAUAAUAUUAAUAUCCCCCGUCCUUUCAUAUAAGGAGAUGCAUUGUCACACCAUUAUGAUUCUAACGUCCUGAACGCUGCAUACCUAUACCAUUACCGUGAUUCUUACAUUUGACACUACUUAGGGUUAUUAAAAUUCUUGAGUCAGUAUCACCCUAAUAUUAGCAUUCUCCCUCCUUUAAGAUAGGAGAUGCAUCGUUACACUAUUUAACUGUGGGUGUUUCAUCUAUCACACUUAGUUUAAAAGAUGUAUACUGAUAUGUUAAUGUUCGCACAUUUGAUUUUUUCGAGCCAAGUUGCCAAUAUCAAUAUUAUCAAUAUGAUGCCAGCACCACACAUCUAGUAAUUUUUUCUUUUAUGCCAUAUGGCACACAUGCUGUGAUUCCAACAUUUGGCACAGAAGCUUGUUCAAUGUCGCAUGGUGCUAUACCAAUGCUAUUACCAUUAUUUCAACAUCUAUCAAACUAGUUUCUUUCAUGCCAUGUGGUUCAUACCAAUACUAUUACCAUUUAAUGUCACAUGGUGCUUUUUGAUGAAAUUGCCAUGAUUCCAACAUCUAGCACAUUUGAUUCUUUCUCAUUGCUCUGUGUUUACCAAUGCUAUUACCAUAAUUCCAACACCUAGUAGAAUUAAAUCUUUCAUCUUACAUGGUGCUUACCAAUGCUGUUACCGUGAUUCCAACAUCUAGCACAUUUAAUUCUUUCAUGUUAUGCGGUGCUUACCAAUGCUGUUACCGUGAUUCCAACACCUAGCACACUUGAUUAUUUCAUGCUGCAUGGUGCUUACCAAUGCUGUUACCGUGAUUCCAACACCUAGCACACUUGAUUAUUUCAUGCUGCAUGGUGCUUACCAAUGCUGUUACCGUGAUUCCAACAUCUAGCACACUUGAUUCUUUCAUCAUGCAUAGUGCUUACCAAUGCUGUUACCGUGAUUCCAAUAUCUAGCAUACUUGUGUCUUUGAUGUCACAUGGUGCACACUGAUGCGAUUACCGUGAUUCCAACAUCUAGCACAUUUAAUUCUUUCAUGUUAUGCAGUGCUUACCAAUGCUGUUACCGUGAUUCCAACACCUAGCACACUUGAUUAUUUCAUGCUGCAUGGUGCUUACCAAUGCUGUUACCGUGAUUCCAACACCUAGCACACUUGAUUCUUUCAUCAUGCAUAGUGCUUACCAAUGCUGUUACCGUGAUUCCAACACCUAGCACACUUGAUUCUUUCAUCAUGCAUAGUGCUUACCAAUGCUGCUACCGUGAUUCCAAUAUCUAGCAUACUUGUGUCUUUGAUGUCACAUGGUGCACACUGAUGCGAUUACCGUGAUUCCAACAUCUAGCACAUUUAAUUCUUUCAUGUUAUGCAGUGCUUACCAAUGCUGUUACCGUGAUUCCAACACCUAGCACACUUGAUUCUUUAAUCAUGCAUAGUGCUUACCAAAGCUGUUAUCAUGAUUCCAAUGUCUAUCAUACUUGUUACUGUGAUGUUGCAUGGUGUUUACCUAUGCUAUUACCAUAAUUCCGGCACCUAGUGCAAUUUCAUCUUACAUAGUGCUUACCAAUGCUGUUACCGUGAUUCCAACAUCUAGCAUAUUUGUGUCUUUGAUGUCACAUGGUGCAUACUGAUUUGAUUACCGUGAUUCCAACACCUAGCACAUUUAAUUCUUUCAUUUUGGGUGGUGCUUACUAAAGCUGUUACCAUGAUUCCAACACCUAGCAUUUUUGAUUCUUUCAUCUUGCAUAGCGCUUACCAAUGCUGUUACUGUGAUUCCAACAUCUAGCAUAUUGGUUGGAUGUUUUACGGCGCACACUAUGCAAUUACUGUGAUUCCAACAUUGCAUAUAUUUUUUUGAUGUUUUAUCGUGCAUACCAUUGCAAUUACCGUGAUUCCAACAUCUAGCACAUUUGUUUCAGGUCACAUUGUGCUUACUGUUACUCUUAUGGUGAUUCCAACAUCGAGCAUACUUGUUUCUUUGAUGCUUUAUGGCGUAUACUGAUGUCAUUGCCGUAGUUUCAAUAUCAUGCACAUUUGAUUGUUUUAUGCAAAUUGGUGCAUACAUUUGCAACCACCUGUGUGCCUAAUAUAUCAUCAAUAUCAGGUGCAAAUACCACAAUACUUCUAAUGCCUUUUUUUUUUUUUUGGUGUAAGCAUGGGUGAGAACAUAAGCAGAUACUUGAAAUUUAUAGCAUUUGUAUGGCAGAGUUUAAAAAAAAAGUUAUUGCUUAAGCUUUUCCUUUUUUCCCCUCCAAAUUUAGCUUCUGAUAAUUAAUUGCAUCCAACAAUCUUUUUGUUACAUUUAGUGCUGUUCCUUCAAGAAUAAAAGUUUGGUGCAAAAAUUAUUUAUGAAACAAAAAAAUAAUGAGCUAAUCUGCAAAAUAUUUUAUAUCAGGUUUUGUAGAUUGGAAAGCUUUCAUUACAUCCUUUUUUCUUUUCGCAAAGUUAAAAUGUAGACACAAAAUGAGGCUUUACAUUUUUUGCUUUGGAUGAUAUUUUAAAAUGAAAUAUUUUUUUUAGAAAGGAAAGUCAUUUUUCUUUUGUGCUUUUGCAUGAAUUUUAAUAUUGAACCUUUAAUAUAUAGCUUGAACACAUGCAUCAUCUAAUAAGAAUAAUUAAUCAACUUCAAUAAAUCACUUUCAACAUACUGUGAUUUUAAAAUUUGUACACAAUCUAUGUAGAUUAAAAGUUUCUUAUAUUGAUGUUGUUGUGAUUGCUCAUUCAAAAAUUUUAUACUAAAAAUUUUAAAGUGUUUAUGAAAAUGUUGUCGAUGUAAUUCAAAUACUUAGCAGUGUUGUUGUUUUUUUAUAUCAAAAUGUGAAUACAGUACAACCUUAAUAUCUCAAAUCUCUCGGGACGGGGAAAAAAUUCGAGAUAUCAAGUUUUUGAGUUAUCAAGGUUUUAAAAAAAUUACACAAGAAACUCUCACAAUUACACACACGUACACUAUAUGCAUUUAUAUAUGUACUAUGAGACCACUGUGAAUUACGAUCAAUAAAGUCGUCUACAAUAUUUUACUAGAUUUGAAAUUUUAUAAUUGUCGAAAGUGCACAGGAGGAGAUUUUGAAAUGAACAACAAUUUCAACUUGGUUUUUCACCUAAAAAUUUAAAAAUUCUUAUCUUCAACUAGUAGCUUCUCACAUUCAAAAAAGUUUUCAGCAGCCAUUUUGAAGGAGUUAAAAAAGCAGAAUGAUGAAAAUGAGGAACGUAUUUUCCGUUUUCACUUGAAAACUGACUGGCGAAAAAUCAACCCCCUUUCCUCAAAGUGGACAACAUGUUCGAGAGAAAUGCACAGAUUCUAAACUCUGGGGAAAACACAGCACCCCUUUCAUACCAACACUUCCCUAUUCUCUUGCUUCAAUCCCCUAAUCACAAAGUUUCCAAGAAGAGAGAUGAAAUCUGGUCCCUGGAACUGGUUUUACUACAAAAAUUGUCAAAGAAAAACGACAACUGAAACUUGCUUCUGUGCAAAAAUUUUGACAUAUCAAGGGUUCCAAAAAAUAAAUUUCGAGAUAACUAUGGAAAAUACAUAGUGGUUUUUAUAGAAAAUGCAGGGGAAAAUUUUUUUUGAGACAUCAAAGGUUUCGACAUAAGGAGGUUCGAGAUAUCAAGGUUCAACUGUAUCAUGCCAAUUAAUUAUACACAUGAUAUGUUUAGUAAUAAAAAUGUAUAUUAUUUACAAGACUAUUCUUAGUAAUAACUGCAUUGAAUUCUUUAUCGGUAUCUUACUAUAUUAUAAAAAUCUAAAGACUGCUGCAGCAGCCAAAUAAAAUCGAUGGAGCAUGAUGACAUAAAGUGAAGUUAUUGUUCAACAAUGAUUGUUGUUUCUAAUUGAAGAAUCAUCCUUAUUUUAGCUGGAAAUUGGUUAAAAAAAUUACAAUUAACUUUCUAAUUGCCUUGGGAAAUUCAAACAAAUUUCAGCUCAUGCAGAAAUAU